GUGAACAGUUUAUGAUCGAGGGGACGAAGGCUUUGUUUAUACACCGCGUUUGGAUAAUUGUAUUUUUGCCGUUGUUUUAAUAUGUCAGGAUACGGUUAAACGUUUGAAGUAAUAUUGAACAGUAUGGUUGGCUCUAAUUGUGCUUUGUAUGGCUGUCCGACCAGCAGAACGCGUGAAUUUGCAAUUUUUAAAAUCCCUGUUGUUGGCGCAGCCGAUGAAGUCUGCGUAGGAGACUACAGCCGAUGGUGAACAAGAAGAGAAAUGCUCGCGAAGAAUGGCUUCGAAUUGUUUUAAAGGACUAGAGAAAAGACGGUAGAUCUUCAGAAACAAAUAAGAUUUUCCUUUGUGACGACUGAGCGUCAUUUGAAGCCAUUGUAAAUUUUGCAUUUUAUGCAUGCGCUUGUGUGAUCAGAUGUAAACAAAGAGGGCAUUGUAUUUGCAUAUUUACAUAUCCCAUGUCUAUUAAAUAUCUCUCUUCUGUAGACCCCAAACGAAAGAUUUUAUAACUGGUAGCGUCUACAAUAAACACGAAGUUCCCAAGGCUGAGCGUCGCAUUCUCAACGUAUAAAUACCAGAUAAACAACCUACAAGCUUCGAAUUACACACGUUAGUUCAGUGGCUGGCGAGGUGGCUGGUGUGUCCAGUAUUGACAUUAAAACUGAUGGCAGAUUUAGAUAAUAUGCAAAUAUGGAAAGUAGAAGAAAUUCAAGAUAACCUAGGAGGUCCAAGGCUCAAAAAGCAAUUUAAAAUGCAAAAAAAUCUUUAAGUUUUUCACUAUCAUAUGAAAAUGGUCUAUGCUUGUUUAAGUUGUUUUGUUCCAAAAGUGGUAUAUUGCAUGUAAAUAUUUUUUGUGGUCACUCGAUUUUCAUACCAAGAUUGGUGAAUUAAAGGCCAUGAUAUUAUAUUAUCUGGUAUUCAACAGAAAUAAAGUCAAAUCAGGGUACAUCAAAGUUUUAAUGGGUUAAUUAGGGGCUGAUUACAUGGAGCAUUUUCAACCCUGGGGUUGUCUCCUACAGAUCUACAGUUGGGACCUACAGGCCUACAGUUGGGACCUACGAGGCUGUCAUUAAUAGGUCGUUAAUUAAUAGUGUUUUUGACAUUAGUUGGUUUAUAUUCAAUUUAGGACAAUAGAUAAUUUAGGUUAUUUAGAUUUAUUCAAAUUUGCAUGACAUAUAACAUGUUGUUGUUGUAAAAGUUUUUUAGUUAGAAAU